GAUGAACGCUGGCGGCGUGCCUAAUACAUGCAAGUCGAGCGAACAGACGAGGAGCUUGCUCUUCUGACGUUAGCGGCGGACGGGUGAGUAACACGUGGAUAACCUACCUAUAAUACUGGGAUAACUUCGGGAAACCGGAGCUAAUACCGGAUAAUAUAUUGAACCGCAUGGUUCAAUAGUGAAAGACGGUUUUGCUGUCACUUAUAGAUGGAUCCGCGCUGCAUUAGCUAGUUGGUAAGGUAACGGCUUACCAAGGCAACGAUGCGUAGCCGACCUGAGAGGGUGAUCGGCCAAACUGGAAAUGAGACACGGUCCAGACUCCUACGGGAGGCAGCAGUAGGGAAUAUUCCGCAAUGGGCGAAAGCCUGACGGAGCAACGCCGCGUGAGUGAUGAAGGUCUUCGGAUCGUAAAACUCUGUUAUUAGGGAAGAACAAAUGUGUAAGUAACUAUGCACGUCUUGACGGUACCUAAUCAGAAAGCCACGGCUAACUACGUG
rnacentral:rRNA from 1 species